rnacentral:rRNA from 1 species
CAGAGGGGGCAAGCGUUAUUCGGAAUUAUUGGGCGUAAAGGGCGCGUAGGCGGCCUGGCAAGUGGAAGGUGAAAUCCCUCGGCUUAACCGAGGAACUGCCUCCCAAACUGCUUGGCUUGAGACCGGGAGAGGUGAGUGGAAUUCCCAGUGUAGCGGUGAAAUGCGUAGAUAUUGGGAGGAACACCAGUGGCGAAGGCGGCUCACUGGACCGGUACUGACGCUGAGGCGCGAAAGCGUGGGGAGCAAACGGGAUUAGAUACCCCGGUAGUCCACGCCGUAAACGAUGAGUGCUUGGUGUAGCGGGUAUCGACCCCUGCUGUGCCGAAGUCAACACAUUAAGCACUCCGCCUGGGGAGUACGGUCGCAAGGCUG